rnacentral:lncRNA from 1 species
AAAUUCAAACUUAUCCUUCUCAAAUCUAAGGCUUUAGAUUAUUUUGUCUUUAUUGUAUAAAAAUAUUUUGAAACCAUAUUUUUCAUUAUGUCCAUGCUUAAAUUUAAACACUUAAUAUAAUGUGAAAUAUAUAUAUGUUUAAAAUUAUACUUAUUCAAAAAUAUGAAUUCAAUAAAAUAUAUAUAUAUAUAUAUAUAUAUUCAUCCGGAUUUGAUAUAAGUUUUUCUACUUUGUAUUUUGUAUUUUAUGUUUAUAAGUUUUUCUAUAUUCAUCCGGAUUUGAUAUAAGUUUUUCUAUUUUGUAUUUUGUAUUUUGUAUUUUAUGUUUUUCUACAAAUUCAUUAUCAACAAAGCAUAUCUUUAAAAAAUAACGAUAAUUUAUCUCCUAAACAUAAAUUAGAGAAAUUAGACAAUACAUAAAACAUAAAUAAAAAAGAAAUUAGACAAUAAAAAUAAAAUCACAUUAACAAAAAAUUAAAUUAAUAAACAAAAAAUUCUUCGUCAGAAAUUUUCUAAAGUCUGGAAUUUACCGACAAAUUAUUUCCAGGCACCGAUCUGCUCACAACAUUCAAUUCCCAACACCUAAAACACCAGAUUUGAUUUUCCUCCAAAUUAUUCUCAACUUUAAAUCCUUGACUCUCUAAUCAUCCAAUUCCUACCCGCUUCAAUUUUUCCAAGCUCAAAUCUACUCAAAAUUGUACACACACUCCCAAUUUGGAAAACCAAAUCUUAACAAAAAACAAUAAACCUACAUCAAAUUUACAUAUAAACACACACAAAAAUAUUACAGAAAGAGAAAAAUAGUACGUACCUGAGAUAGAGAGAGAAAGACAACACCGGAAACAAUGGCCCGGAGAGGGAGGAGACCGGCCGGGAGAGGGAGAGGGAGGAGGGAGGAGACCGGGAGAGGGAGGGAGGGAGGGAGGGAGGGAGGGAGGGAGGGAGGAGGGAGGAGGCCGGCCGGGAGAGGGAGAGGGAGGAGGGAGAGG